UGAACUGAGUAGACAAUGGAGCAUAUGAUGGGGGUCCCUGAAAAGGAGGUGGUAUGUAACCAUGAAAAGCAUAUGGUGGUGGCGGUAGUGAAUGUGCCAGUUGCUAAAAUUCCGGUCGUGGUUGAUACGCCGGCUACUUAAAGUGUGGUGCAAACGGGCCUUGCGGCCAUGCUUCUACCAAUGUCUCUGGCCAUUGCUCCUACUGCCAUCCUUCAGAAACUCCCUCGUAGCUUGGUGCAUUCUGGAACUCCGUCUGCUAGUAGCUUGAGCUGGGUGGUGGUGGUGGUACUUCUGGAGCUGGUUGCGAAGAUGAGCCUUCUUCAAUUCCUUGCCCUCUUUUGCC
rnacentral:lncRNA from 1 species